rnacentral:lncRNA from 1 species
UGGAAUGCUUGCAGGUAGUCUCAACCUCAGUGAUGGAAAAACUGAAGCAGAAUAGUUGCAACUGAUGUGCCUGCAGUUGAAGGAUGGGGCCCCAUGUGUAAGUAGCAUGGCAUAAGGAGAAUGAACAACCGGAUCCUGCCUGGCCGGGCACGCGGGGAUGGGAAGCAGUCGCCUGACGUUCUCUGCGUUAAAGACGUCCUUGUCACAGCGCUGCAACCUGUGCUGCUUUGUUGUAGGAAACAACCUCUGGAAGGAAAUAGGCGUAGCUCCUGAUUACAGCCG